GGGGAAUAUUGCACAAUGGGCGCAAGCCUGAUGCAGCCAUGCCGCGUGUAUGAAGAAGGCCUUCGGGUUGUAAAGUACUUUCAGCGAGGAGGAAGGCAUUGUGGUUAAUAACCGCAGUGAUUGACGUUACUCGCAGAAGAAGCACCGGCUAACUCCGUGCCAGCGGCCGCGGUAAUACGGAGGGUGCAAGCGUUAAUCGGAAUUACUGGGCGUAAAGCGCACGCAGGCGGUCUGUCAAGUCGGAUGUGAAAUCCCCGGGCUCAACCUGGGAACUGCAUUCGAAACUGGCAGGCUAGAGUCGUGUAGAGGGGGGUAGAAUUCCAGGUGUAGCGGUGAAAUGCGUAGAGAUCUGGAGGAAUACCGGUGGCGAAGGCGGCCCCCUGGACAAAGACUGACGCUCAGGUGCGAAAGCGUGGGGAGCAAAC
rnacentral:rRNA from 1 species